AGUGUAGAGGUGAAUUCGUAGAUAUUAGAAAGAAUACCAAUUGCGAAGGCAGCUUUCUGGAUCAUUACUGACACUGAGGAACGAAAGCAUGGGUAGCGAAGAGGAUUAGAUACCCUCGUAGUCCAUGCCGUAAACGAUGUGUGUUAGACGUUGGAAAUUUAUUUUCAGUGUCGCAGGGAAACCGAUAAACACACCGCCUGGGGAGUACGACCGCAAGGUUAAAACUCAAAUGAAUUGACGGGGACCCGCACAAGUAGUGGAGCAUGUGGUUUAAUUCGAAGAUACGCGCAGAACCUUACCAACACUUGACAUGUUCGUCGCGACUCUAAGAGAUUAGAGUUUUCGGUUCGGCCGGACGAAACACAGGUGCUGCAUGGCUGUCGUCAGCUCGUGUCGUGAGAUGUUGGGUUAAGUCCCGCAACGAGCGCAACCCUCACUUUUAGUUGCCAUCAUUAAGUUGGGCACUCUGAAAGAACUGCCAGUGAUAAGCUGGAGGAAGGUGGGGAUGACGUCAAGUCCUCAUGGCCCUUACGUGUUGGGCUACACACGUGCUACAAUGGUAUCUACAACAGGAAGCAAAACUGCGAAGUUAAGCAAAUCCCUAAAAGAUACCUCAGUUCGGAUUGCACUCUGCAACUCGAGUGCAUGAAGCUGGAAUUACUAGUAAUCGUGGAUCAGCGUGCCACGGUGAAUGCGUUCCCGGGUCUUGUACACACCGCCCGUCACACCAUGGGAGUUGGUUCUACCUUAAGGCAAGGUUUUAAACCCUUGACCACGGUAUAGUCAGCGACUGGGGGUGAAGUCGUAACAAGGUAGCCGUAGGGGAACCUGCGGCUG
rnacentral:rRNA from 1 species